AGUUUUUCCUGGAGACUUCUUAACAACUUGCUUUUUAGCAGGGGUGAUGUCUGGGACAUCGUCUUCGACAUCCUCUUCAAAGUCAGAACUCUCUCUUUCUUUCCUCUUUCUAACCUCAACUUUACUCUAAGACUUGGAGGGUCCUACACCAGCAACCUUUUUCUCUCUUCUUGCUGUCCUCAUUUCAGCCAUAGUCUUCCCUUUUCUGGUCCUCAGUUUCUUAGCUACACUUGGUUUUACAAGAUGGACCAAAGUGUCAUCC
rnacentral:lncRNA from 1 species